rnacentral:rRNA from 1 species
UACGGAGGAUCCAAGCGUUAUCCGGAUUCAUUGGUUUAAGGUGCGUAGGCGGAAUGAUAAGUCAGUGGUGAAUCCUGCAGCUUAACUGCAGAACUGCCAUUGAUACUGUCAUCUUGAGUAUAUUGAUGUGGGCGGAAUGUGUCAUGUAGCGGUGAAAUGCUUAGAUAUGACACAGAACACCGAUUGCGAAGGCAGCUCACAAACUAUAACUGGACGCUGAAGGCACGAAAGCGUGGGUAUCAAACAGG